UCUCUCUCUCUCUCUCUCUCUCUCUCUCUCUCUCUGAGACAUGAAUCACAUCGCCAGCGAAGCACCAGCGCCACCGCCUGACCUAACAGCCACAUCUCCUCCAUCCCCGGCGCCGUUGCCGUUGUCUCUUUUGCCGCAGCCCAACCUUGUCGUCCCAUUCGCUGGCGCCGCCACCACCGCCUUCUCCCUCCUCUUCUUCCUCCUCGUCUGCUUCUGCAACAUCACCCGCAACCGCACAGCCCCGGAAGCCGACUCUAAGCCGCCUCACCGCUUCUCUUACUCCCUCUGACGCACCACCGACUCAUUCUCCCCCAUGCUCCUCUGAACUCGUCAACGUCUCUGUUUUUGAGUCUCCGGUCGUCUCCGGCGGUAUGCGCGGUCUCUUUCUCCUCCUCCAUUGUCGUCUCCCUAGCUCCUCGGUUUCCUACUCCGCCGCUCCUCUGAACUCGUCGACGUCGGGGCUAGCUAGGUUCGUGCUGAGAUCGAUGAUGGUGUUGCCGGGGCGCGCUCAGGGCUAGGGCUCGGCUGGAGUUCAAUCCGGGCUGGAUCGUUGGCUGGGGAAGGGCGUUGCUUGCCGGCGAUGGAGGAGGCCGAUGUGCUCAUCGUCAGGGAAGGUGGGUGCCUAGAGAAGAAACGUGGGUGCCCAGUUCAAGUCAGUUAGUUUUUUUUGUUUUUUUUGUUUUUUUGUUAUCCUCACAUUUGAAUAUUGGGGUCAGUAAGUGAUUACUGAUUAUUGAUAAGUGAUUAUUGGGGCCAGUAAGUUAUUAUUUGAGGUUUGUAACCUGAUUAUUGAGGGUCAGUAAAUGAUUAUUGGGUGAUUACUGGGUGUCAGUAAUUGAAAACAAAGUGAUUAUUGAAUGUCAGUAACUGAAAACUAAAAGUUGUUGGAGUUAAUAACUCGAUUAUUAAGGUCAAUAAUUCGAUUAUUUUCUGGUAAAUCUUUUUUUCUAUUACAUUAAGCUGAAAUAAGUUGAUUAUUGGGGGUCAAUAACUGAUUAUUAAAGGUUAGUAAAACGAUUAUUAGGGGUCAGUAACUGGUUAUUAGGGGUCAUUAACUUGUCAGUAACUGGUUAUUGGGGGUCAGUAACUAGUUACAGGGGAAAUUCCGGUGACCGGAGUCCAACGACUGGUGACCGGAGUCCGACGACCGGUGACGGGAGUCCCGCGGCCAGUACCGAAGUCCGACGGCCGAUGACCGGAGUCCCGUGAGAUUCCGGCCAAGUAUUCUCUCUUUCAUUUUCUCUCUCUCUCUCUCUCUAUGCAUGUUUAAGGGGUGAUGGCAAAAUAGUCUUAAAAUAAUAUGGUUUGUUAAGACUUUAGUAAAGAUUUGUGCAUUUGGGCAUAAAAAAGGUUACCUUAUAUUGAAAUGGGUUAAUGAAAAAGAUUGUCAUUGGAAUGGGAAAUAAGGGGUUUAAAUUAGUACUAAAUGGGCAUUUAAUCAUAUAACACAUAUGUAUCAAUAAUACGACCAUAAUUACGACUUUUUAGGGUUCUAAAACUCGGCCGCCCUGGCUGCUACGACGAUGCCUUGUAUGGAUUGAGCUUCCUUACAGUUAAAAAUAGUUUAAAGUUGUUUGAUGAGUCCAUAGUAAUCCGACAGGUUCUACUAUGCGGCCUAAUUACUAUAUAAUGAGGAAGACUACACUGCAUUACUGAAGGUAUUGUUAUUCAGUCGAAGAGCCGAUAAAUAUUUGUUCGAUGAUUUCUUGAUAUCGAUGAUCCUUAUGUUGGACGCUAAAGACUAGUUAUUAGAGGAAAGGAAAAUGCCCAUUUAGCACUAAUUUAAACCCCUUAUUCCCCAUUCCAAUGACAAUCUUUUUCAUUAGCCCAUUCCAAUAUAAGGUAACAUUUUUUUAUGUCCAAAUACACAAAUAUUUACUUAAGUCUUAACAAAUUAUAUUAUUUUAAAACUAUUUUGCCCUCACCCUUUAAACAUGCAUAGAGAGAGAAAAUGGAAGAGAGAAUAUUUGGCCGGAAUCUCACCAGCCGCUGGACUCCGAUCACCGGACACCGGCCGUCGGACUCCGGUCACCGGCCGCCGGAUUCUAGUCACCGGUGACUCGGUAAAUGACCCUCAAUAACUUGGUAAAUGACCCUCAAUAACUUGGUUACUGACCCCUAAUAAUCAGUUACUGACCCCAAAUCCCAAUAACUUGGUUACUGACUCAAUAAUCAGUUACUGACCCCUAAUAAUCGGGUUACUGACCCCUAUAACUUGGUUACUGACUCUAAUAACUUGGUUACUGACCCCCAAUAAUCAGUUACUGACCCUCAAUAAUCGGGUUACUGGCCCUAAUCAUUUGGUUACUGACCUUCAAUAAUCAGUUAUUGACCCCAAUAAUCAGAUUACUAACCCCAAUAAUCAGGUUACUGAUCCAAUAAUAGUUGGCCGAAAUUACUGGGGGGAAUAAGAUAUUACUGAGGUAGUAAAGAAUAUUAGAAAAGAAGUUUUUACAAGUGAAGGUGAAGGCUUCUUCUUCACCUUCGCAAACAAAACCAAACCAUGGCUUAAUCACAGAAACGAUUAUGACCACACAGAGAAACGAUUUGACCACACAUAUUCUGCCAUACAAAAGAUUAAAGCCCACACAGAGAAAAUACUAAAAAGAUUAAAGUCUGUGCCACUCUAACCAUACAAAAGCCUUCAACAAACACACUAUUCCAUGGCUUAAGGUCCACGGUUGAGAAUCUCUUUCACCUUGGAAUCAUCAUCCAUAUCAAUCACAAAUAUAGGGGGGCACACCACCGCACAAAACGUAAUCUUCUGGUUCAUCUCUCGUCCGAGCUUUUGGUCACCAUCGGCGGAAAAUCCUUCAAACACUAGGCAUGUAGAUCUAGACCACGACGAGCUGACAAGCAUCAGAAAUCUAUACAGAAAGAGAACACUAGCCUUCAUCUGAGCACGUCGUCCUUUUUCCCAUAAUUCUUCUUCUGUCUGAGCACGUCUUCCCCACCGACGGCGUGGUAGAGGCGACGAAGCCAGGAAGGAACCAUGACUCAGGCUUCUUGAGAACCCGAUGAGAGAGAGAGAGAGAGAGAGAGAGAGAGAGAGAGAGAGAGAGAGAGAGAGAGAGAGAGAGAGAGAGAGAGAGAGAGAGAGAGAGAGAGAGAGAGAGAGAGAGAGAGAGAGAGAGAGAGAGAGAGAGAGUANNNNNNNNNNNNNNNNNNNNGAGAGAGAGAGAGAUGAAAACCAGAUCGGGAAGAGAGCAUAAGAGAAGGAGAUGAGAUUUGUGUGGCUUUAAUUACACAGGGUAAUAUCGUAUUUUUGUUAAAAAUCAUUGGAAUGGGCACAAAGAAAAAAUUAUCAUUGAAAUAGGGUUUGUUUUACCUAUUUUUGGGUAUUUGGGCAUUUUCCCUUAGAGGAAUAGAAGGUUGCAUGAACUUCAGACUACGUGAAGUGUUAAAGCUUCGAAAUCCAUAAGGAAUUCAUGACGUUCUCAGUUUUUUCUAGGGCUGGGCAUCCGAAACCGGUCCCGAUCCCUUCCCUAAAAUUCACGGGACGAGACAGGAAUUCGUUUCGAAUAUUGAAGGCCCGGCCCGGCCCGUCCCGUUUUGAAAAAAAGGGUUCGAGGUCGGGCCUUGUUAGCUGGAUCUCGUUUAGGCCCGGCCCGUCCCGAAUUAAAAAAAAAACUUAAUUCUGUGAUUUAAUCUACACCGUCUGAUUGAUCUGUGUGGUAAGACUUAACCCACUUAACCCUCUCUCAACACCCACUAGUCCACUACUGUUCUCCUUCUCCUUCAUCCGCCCUCUCUCUAUUUUUCUCUGUCUUCUUUGAUCUCUUGAGUUAUCUUUCCCUUCUUCCUCUUUUAGUUUAAGGUAAAAUUCUGUAAAGUCCCUAUAAUUUAGGUGGUUCAUCUGUUUAGUCCUUGAACUUACAAUUGUUAAUCUGGUUAGUCCUUUUCAUUAUUUCUGAUGGAAUAUUCUGUCAGAAAAGAGAAUAUUCUGUUUUUCUAUAAUAUUUUUGUUUAAAAGAAAAAUGAACGGAGCAUGGUGGGCCUUGGAUUCUGAAUUUGUUUAACAUUUUGCAAAUAUUAAAUCUAUCCUUCUACUCAAAGGUAAACAGUUAAUUUUUUAUUACCAAUAGGAGAAUCUAUUGCUACUCGACUUGAUUUAUUAUCAGAAGCUAAACUGUCUUAUAAAGAAUUACAAGAAGAAAGAAGAAAUUUUAGAAAAUUAAAAGAAAGAAGAGAUAAGCUUCCAAGAAAUACCAAAAAUUACUAGGAUAUUAUUUUCCAGUUGCAACGAAGGAUAUAUGAGUCAAGAGAGGAAAUUGAAGUCCUUCAAGAAACAUUUGAACAAGAUCAAAACCCUAUUGAUAUUUUGAGCAUCGGUUAGAUCCGCCCUAGCUGGUAUCAGAGCCUGUUUGGCUCAAAAGCAGGUGACAAAAGGCUUAUGCCACAAAGUUGGCUUCUCUUGACUAAUAAAAGAGAAUCCAAAUUAAA
rnacentral:lncRNA from 1 species